CAACCACAAACCUCAGAUUACUGCAACUCCCUCUACACUGGCAUCAGCCAAUCUUCUCUGUCCCGCCUGCAACUGGUCCAAAAUGCCGCAGUGGGACUACUGACGGGCACCCGACCUGGCCUCUGUGCGGUCCCGAAUAAAUUUCAAGAUCCUCCU